ACUGUGGGACCUUAUAUAGACAGGUGUGUACCUUACCAAAUCAUGUCCAAUCAAUUGAAUUUACCACAGGUGGACUCCAAUCAAGUUGUAGAAACAUCUCAAGGAUGAUCAAUGGAAACAGGAUGCAGAUGAGCUCCAUUUUGAGUCUCAUAGCAAAGGGUCUGAAUACUUAUGUAAAUAACAAUUUAAAUAAAAAUAAAUAUAUAUUUUUGCAAACAUUUCUAAAAACCUGUUUUCGCUUUGUCAUUAUUGGGUAUUGUGUGUAGAUUGAUGAGAUAAAAAUUUAGAACAAAGAUGUAACGUAACAGAAUGUGGGAAAUAAAUGAAGGGGUCUGAAAACUUUCUGAAUGGUUACAAUGCAUGUGGUGCAAGCAAAGGAUUUCGACUGUGAGUCAAUGACACCAACACAGCUUCCAUAAGAACAACCUGCAUGGGCUCUGGGUUGCGUACAUUGUCUGAUGCAAUGUUAAAGUCAUGCAAUAGGAGGACUAUUCUGGGAGACAGGAGCAUACUGCAUUCCAUAAUUCAACAGAACCAGUGGUGUAGUGGUGCCUGGAGAAGUGGGUAUAUACUUGUUAUGCCAACAUCUUUCCAAACAGCCCGCCAGGCAAAGGGAAUUAUAUGAGAAGCAGUGACAUACACUCUGAAUGAUCUAAAUUGAUGAAUCCCAUAUUGGUCUUUCACCGUCAGGCCAACCCAAGCUGUACUGGUCAUAUUGGUCUUUCACAGUCAGGCCAACCCAAGCUGUACUGGUCAUAUUGGUCUUUCACCGUCAGGCCAACCCAAGCUGUACUGGUCAUAUUGGUCUUUCACAGUCAGGCCAACCCAAGCUGUACUGUUCAUAUUGGUCUUUCACAGUCAGGCCAACCCAAGCUGUACUGUUCAUAUUGGUCUUUCACAGACAGGCCAACCCAAGCUGUACUGUUCAUAUUGGUCUUUCACAGUCAGGCCAACCCAAGCUGUACUGUUCAUAUUGGUCUUUCACAGUCAGGCCAACCCAAGCUGUACUGUUCAUAUUGGUCUUUCACAGUCAGGCCAACCCAAGCUGUACUGUUCAUAUUGGUCUUUCACCGUCAGGCCAACCCAAGCUGUACUGGUCAUAUUGGUCUUUCACAGUCAGGCCAACCCAAGCUGUACUGUUCAUAUUGGUCUUUCACAGACAGGCCAACCCAAGCUGUACUGUUCAUAUUGGUCUUUCACAGUGAGGCCAACCCAAGCUGUACUGUUCAUAUUGGUCUUUCACAGUCAGGCCAACCCAAGCUGUACUGGUCAUAUUGGUCUUUCACAGUCAGGCCAACCCAAGCUGUACUGUGCAGUAGGCUAACAGUAGACCUACUAUUGAAACCGAAAAACUGAGUCAGAAAUACACAGGUUUCAGAUUUUCCCCAAUUGUUUCAGGUUCUCGUUUUUCAACACAAUAUUUUUAACAGAAAAACAACCAAAGUGUAUGUUCUAAGUCCAUGACUUUUGAGUUAUGGGGGAAAAAUCUAAGAAAAUUCAAUUUUUUUGAGAGUAGUUACCCUUUAAUUGAAGUGUGCAAGUACCUAGCCCUGUUUGACUAGUAGUGUUUCUCUAGCACAUGAGAUGGAGUUUGCAAAAUAAAUGACCACUGUAUUGACUCAGAUAAUCAUGAUAUCAUUCUGACAGGUAGGCAUAGGCUACUUUUUAGCUAGUUAACGUUCAAUAGAGAAGGUUUUUGUGAAGGCCUUUCCAUCUACCAGAAGACGGUUAGGUCUAUCAUUAGCAUUGAUAUGUUUUUCCUGUUCCUUAAUGGUUUGAAACCUGGACGUGUUACUUCAUAUUCUGAGGCAUGUCUUACCUUGCUUCAAAGUAGCCUAUAGCCAAAAUCCCACCAUAGAAACGUUGAGCCACUUAUUUUAUAAAAACUUACUCAUUAUGCGUUCUCUUCUUUUAUUGGUUUUCUUUCAACUUUCUUUAAUUGUCAAGCAGCCAAAGACAUUAUCCGAAUCAUAUUAGCAACCCAUGAUAGUUGUUGCAUCUUCGCCCAUUUCUAACGGAUAUUUCCAUCUUUAUCCAUGAUAGUUGUUGCAUCUUUGUUCCAUUUCUAACGGAUAUUUCCAUCUUUAUCCAUGAUAGUUGUUGCAUCUUUGUUCCAUUUCCAUCUCUACCCAUGAAACCACUUGCAUGUGCGGUGCGCAUUUUAGAAUUGUGUUUUUCGCACAAAUUCCAUUUUGGAACACUCACCCGUAUUCCUACCGCCGUGUGCACAUUGCUGCAAGUAAAAUGUGAAUAAAUAAUAGAUAUCAUCAUUUUAAGCUAAACAUUCCAACCUGUUAAAGCUAAACAUUCCGACCACAUACACAUAUACACACACACACACACACACACACAUACACACAUACACACACACACACACACAUACACAUACACAUACACAUAUACAUGCACA
rnacentral:lncRNA from 1 species